rnacentral:tRNA from 1 species
GGGUGUAACUCAGUGGUAGAGUACUUGCCCAGGAUGCUAAAAGCCCUGAGUUCAAGCCCCAGAAGAACCA